CUCUUUUGGGAUAAAAUAGGU
rnacentral:snRNA from 1 species